UACGUAGGGUGCAAGCGUUGUCCGGAAUUAUUGGGCGUAAAGAGCUCGUAGGCGGUCUGUCGCGUCGGCUGUGAAAACCCGGGGCUCAACCCCGGGCCUGCAGUCGAUACGGGCAGGCUAGAGUGCGGUAGGGGAGACUGGAAUUCCUGGUGCAGCGGUGAAAUGCGCAGAUAUCAGGAGGAACACCGGUGGCGAAGGCGGGUCUCUGGGCCGUUACUGACGCUGAGGAGCGAAAGCGUGGGGAGCGAACAGG
rnacentral:rRNA from 1 species